AUGGGGCACGCUGGGGUGGCAGGAAGCACCAGCCAGGCUGCUCAGUGCUCACUCCUUUCCCUCCCUGCUUCCAGGCUGACAUCAGGUCCCGGGAGCACCUUCGGAAGCAGCCCUGUGCUCCACUGGGGGUGCUGGAGGCUGCCCCUGCCAGCCCAGAGAGCAGCAAAAAGGAGGCUGAACUGGAGGAUUAGUCUGGUGCCAGCAGAACGUGCAGAGCUCCUCUCCACUGGCUCCUCUCCUGCCCCAAGGCUGGGUCCUGCUGGGUGCAGGAGCCCAGUGUCACAGCUGUGCCAGGCUGUCCCACAGGGCACCUCCAGCCACUGCUCAGGGAGAGCCCUUGCUGUGAAUUUCUCAGGGUUUGUUUUCAAGUACUGUUAAAACCUUUGUGUAAGCAAAGGCUCACAGGUAACUCUGCCUGUGGUGUGAGGGAAAAUCAGGUUAAAAAAAAAAAAAAAAAAGCAUAACUUUGUGUAAGCAAAGGCUCACAGGUAACUCUGCCUGUGGUGUGAGGGAAAAUCAGGUUAAAAAAAAAAAAAAACAGCAUAAAAAAUGGCUCUGCAUCACUGCCCCAGCUUGCCUCUGCGUGAGGCUCUGAGCUCCCCUGGUUCCAGGUCCAGGUAAACUCAGGUGACUCUGGAUGAAGUCACCUGGGGAGGCUGUGGGAGGAGGAUGGUGCUGCAGUGUCCUGCUGGAGCCAGGGCUCUGUGCUCCUGCCUUUGGGGUUUGUCUGUGCCCUGGGAUGCUGCACCAGCUGCCCAAACUCGGGUGCUUAAAGGAAGGGACUAAUCUCUGUGUUUGGUGUCUGCUUGUGGCUCUUGGGACACAAUAUGGGAUUAACUUGGUCUUUAUCUAAUUGGUUUAUAACCCUGGGAAGGGAAAAUCGCUUUGUAAUGCUUGAAACCUCUUAAGAGAAACUCAGAGACUGGAGCUUGAGUGUCCUUUGAAAUAAACUCGUCCAUGGCUUGUCUUUUUUAACUCUGUUACUGGAAACCGGCUUUUUUGGGUGCAAAGUAAUUUGGGAUCAGAGGAAAAUAGUUAUUGCUGACUGGUUGUAAAUCCUGUUAUCACCAGGGGUUUUCUCUUCACUGUUUCCAUCUGGGACUGGUUGGGAGUCUGGAGGAGUCUCAGGGCUUGGCCACCCCAGCAGUGCUGGGGAACGAGCUGUGGGGCUGGGGCAGGGAUGUGCUGCCAGCGACCGACGGCUCCUGGGUGACAGCCCGGGGCAGAAUUGCUUUGGGCUUGGGUCUCCUGGCUGCCGGGUGUCUAAUGGCUCUGCCGCAGCUUCUCUGCAUCUGCUCCCUCUGUCCUAUUUGUCUGGGGUCCAGGGGGGAGGGAGAGGAGAUGCUUUGGGAUGCAAAUCUGUUUGUUCUGAGGAAGUCUGGGUGAGCAGCUCCAUCCCAGGUGUCUGAGGCUGGGUGGGAUGAGUUCCCACCUCCGUGUCUGGAGCUUGUGGCAGUGUAGGUGCUGCCUGUGCAGUUCCAGCUCCUGUGACUCAGGGUUUGUAUUUUGGGACACUCCUGCCGAGGAUGAAGGAAGUGUUUCAUUGGGAUUUCCCCUCUCCCUGCCCCCAGUUCUCAUUCCUCUCCCCUUUGGCUUGCUUGGGUGGGUUUAGGUCUGAGCCGUGCUCUGGGUGUGGAGCUGCAGGCGAGCCCCCCGGUGUGGAGCUGGGCCCGGGCAGCUGAGCCCCCCUCCCUUCCCCAUUCCCGGAGUUUGGCGUUUGUGGGGCUGGCUGGGGCAGCUGCGUCCCUUGGAUCCCGGAGCAUUCCCCAGCUUUGGGCCCCAGCUCUGGCUCUAAAAGGGCAUUUUUAGUGUCGGUCCCUCCCGUGCAGCUGAGCCUCUUGGAUGUGGUGGCUCCUGGGCAGAGGGAACGUCAUGGCUCCCUUGCAGGGCUUUUUGGUUUUUUUUUUUUUUUUUUUUUUUUUUUUUUUUUGGGGGGGGGGGGGGUUUUUUUUUUUUUUUUUUUCUCCUUUUUUUUAAAUUUUUCCCUUCCUUUUGUCCUAUAAAUAGUUCUCCACCCCAACUGCUCUUCCCGUUGUUGGUGUCGGUUGAUCCUCCCUGAUCCUCUCACCACAGCCCCACCAGCCCCCUCCCCCCGGCUUGAUUUUAAGGCCCCAUUAAUUAAAACCAAAUGAGUGGAAUUUCUCUUGACAAGCAAAUUAAUAGCAAAUGAGGUGAUUAUGAGCUGUGUCAUUAGGUUGAUGGAGCAGCUUGUGCAGGGCUCAGCCCAAAGCAAGGCAGCAAAGCCGUGGGGUAGCAGACUUCUCCUUUUGGGGGGCUGGGGCUGUGUCCCCCCGAGGGAGGGGACAUGGAAGGUGCUCCCUUCCCCUCUUGGGCCACUGGCUGGAAUUUUGGUAGCCAAGGAGCCACCGUGAGACCCCGGGCUGGAGGAGGGGGCAGAGCAGAGGUGCCGGGGGUGGCUGCAGCCCCCAGCCCCACCGGCGGAUGCUCGGGGGGUCCCACAUGAGCUGGGUCCUUCCAGGGGGACACGCCGGGAGUGCCUUGUCCCCUCCCUGGCAGCCCGACCAGCUUCAAACGCACGAGCCAAGGCUUGUGUCAAUUCCUGGGCUGGUUCCCCCCUCGGGGGCUCGGUGCGGGCUGUUUCCUUAGGAACGCGCGUUCUCCUGCUUUUCUUGGCCCUGCGGAGCUGCAGCAGGAGCCGCGCAUCGGCGCUGCCCGGGGAGCCCCGGCCGGGCGCGCAGCGGGGGCGGCGCUGCCGGCGGCUCCCGGCUCGUGUUGUGACUGGAGCUUUGCGCAGGGAACAGCGCCUGCGAGCAGGAGGAGAUGGAGAUGGAGAUGGAGAUGGAGAUGGAGAUGGAGAUCAGCCGGGCCAGGGAUGCGGGGAAGGACGGGGAGAGGAGGAGAGGCGGUGCCAGGAGCCGGCUCUGCCCCUGUGCCAUCGCUCGAGGGACAAAUAUUCGGUGUUUUCCCGAGGAGCAGCGCUGCCUGCUAAUAAAACACCCAGCGGUUCUUGGGACCGUGUUCAGAGUCUGCGAUAAAUCCGGCGGCUUUGUAACUUGCUGGAGGGAUGGUGGGCAGCGCCGUGAUUAAAGCGCUCUGAUUAACACACAAACCUUGUUUGUAAUGAGUGGGAUUGGGAGGGUGUGGAAAUCCAGCUGGCGUGUAAUGAGGUUACUCCGACAAAUUACUCGGAUAUCAAUUACUCCGCUAGGUAAAUGUCGCCUGCCUUCUCUUUGUUUGCAGCAAACUGAGAUCCAAUUAGCUCGGAGUGGCUCUUGCCCGUGCCGGAGCUGCUGCAGCCCCGAGGCAGGACAGGAGAGCAGCCGGGCUCUGUGGGGCAUCAUCGGGGCCAGGGACACCCCAGUCCCUCGGGGAUAACAUCCCUCCUCUCCUGGGAAGGGAAGGGAGCUGCUCCCGAAACUGCAGCGGGAAAGGGGAGCGGAGCUGCAGCGGGAGCGUGUCGGGGAUGGUGCCCCUGUUCCAGCCCUCGGGAAGGGCUCUGGAUGUCGGGAGAGCGAGGCAGACGGGGCCGG
ensembl:lncRNA